rnacentral:rRNA from 1 species
UGAAUACGAGACGCUAAGGCGUCGAAGUAGUGUAUGUCAUACUUCCAAGAAAAGCUUGCACUGUCAUAGAUAAAAAACGCCUGUACCAUAACCGACACAGGUGGGUAGGUAGAGUAUACUAAGGGGCGCGAGAUAACUCUCUCUAAGGAACUCGGCAAAAUAACUCCGUAACUUCGGGAGAAGGAGUGCCUUAUUCGUAAGGUUGCAAUAACAAGAUCCAAGCAACUGUUUAUCAAAAACACAGGUCUCCGCUAAGUCGUAAGACGAUGUAUGGGGGCUGACGCCUGCCCAGUGCCAGAAGGUUAAAGAAGUUGGUUAGCAAUUGCGAAGCUGAUAACUGAAGCCCUGGUGAACGGCGGCCGUAACAAUAACGGUCCUAAGGUAGCGAAAUUCCUUGUCGGGUAAGUUCCGACCCGCACGAAAGGCGUAAUGAUUUGGAUACUGUCUCGGAGAGGGGCUCGGUGAAAUAGACUUGUCUGUGAAGAUGCGGACUACCUACACCAGGACAGAAAGACCCUAUGAAGCUUUACUGUAACUUGAAAUUGAAAUUGGACUUUAUUCGCGCAGUAUAGGUGGGAGGCGUUGAUUAUAAUCUUGUGGGAUUAUUGGAGCCAUCAGUGAGAUACCACUCUUGUAAUGUUAGAUUUCUAACUUUGAAUCAUUAUCUGGUCAAAGAACAGUUUCAGGCGGGCAGUUUGACUGGGGCGGUCGCCUCCUAAACGGUAACGGAGGCGUACAAAGGUUUCCUCUGAACGGUUAGAAAUCGUAUCUAGAGUGUAAAGGCAUAAGGAAGCUUGACUGUGAGACCUACAAGUCGAGCAGGGACGAAAGUCGGUCUUAGUGAUCUGACGGUACUGAGUGGAAAGGCCGUCACUCAACGGAUAAAAGUUACUCUAAGGAUAACAGGCUGAUCUCCCCCAAGAGUUCACAUCGACGGGGAGGUUUGGCACCUCGAUGUCGGCUCAUCGCAUCCUGGGGCGGCAGUACGUCCCAAGGGUUGGGCUGUUCGCCCAUGAAAGCGGUACGCGAGCUGGGUUCAGAACGUCGUGAGACAGUUCGGUCCAUAUCCGGUGUAGGCGUUAGAAUAUUGAGAGGAGCCUUCUUUAGUACGAGAGGACCGAGAAGGACAUACCUCUGGUGUACCAGUUAUCGUGCCAACGGUAAACGCUGGGUAGCUAUGUAUGGAGUGGAUAACCGCUGAAAGCGUCUAAGUGGGAAGCCCACCUCAAGAUAAGUAUUCUC